UACAGAGGGUGCGAGCGUUAAUCGGAAUUACUGGGCGUAAAGCGUGCGUAGACGGUAGCGUAAGUCAGAUGUGAAAGCCCCGGGCUCAACCUGGGAAUUGCAUUUGAGACUGCUCUGCUCGGGUGCGGAAGAGGGAAGCGGAAUUUCCGGUGUAGCGGUGAAAUGCGUAGAUAUCGGAAGGAACACCAGUGGCGAAAGCGGCUUCCUGGUCCGACACCGACGUUCAGGCACGAAAGCGUGGGGAGCAAAACGG
rnacentral:rRNA from 1 species